rnacentral:rRNA from 1 species
AUUGAACGCUGGCGGCAGGCCUAACACAUUCAAGUCGAGCGGAGCGGCGGACGGGUGAGUAAUGCCUAGGAAUCUGCCUGGUAGUGGGGGAUAACGUCCGGAAACGGGCGCUAAUACCGCAUACUAUCAAAUCAGCCUAGGUCGGCUUAGCUAGUUGGUGGGGUAAAGGCCUACCAGGGCGACGAUCCGUAACUGGUGUGAGAGGCUGAUCAGUCACAUGGGAACUGAGACACGGUCAAGACUCCUACGGGAGGCAGCAGUGGGGAAUAUUGGACAAUGGUCGAAAGCCUGAUCCAGCCAUGCCGCGUGUGUGAAGAAGGUCUUCGGAUUGUAAAGCACUUUAAGUUGGGAAGCGUUACCAACAGAAUAAGCACCGGCUAACUUCGUGCCAGCAGCCGCGGUAAUUC